rnacentral:lncRNA from 1 species
AUGGCAUUGAUGAAAAUCCUUAGGCAAUGCAUCUGGUGCAGGUAUCUGCUCUUUUAUCAUUGUCUUCUUCACCUUCUAUGUCUUUUGCAAUGUUCUUGCUCCUUGACACUUUCUGAUGUGAUGUCACUUCCUUGUUUCAGGUUUCUUGUCACUGGUUGCAGACCCAACUCAGUGUCUGUGACAGUUUUUAACACUUUAAAUAAACCUUCAUUAACUUUUUGCAAACAUGUCCUGCAAAUGUGCAUGCUAUUAGCUGCUCAUUGCCUGGGUAGUUUCUUUGUCUUUGCACCUCUGCUCUCCAUCUUUUUCUUUUUUUCUUUUUUUUUUUUUUUUUUCAAUGUUCAGUUUCCUUUAAUGACCCCCAUCUCCCUGAAGGGCAGGUACAGGCAGCUAGGCGAUGAUGACAAGAGAUGUUUACUUGAAGAUCUUGCCCUGAUUGAAGGUUUUGCCCACAUGCUGGAAGGCCCCCUCCCAGGAAAAGUACUCUCGAACCAGCGUCUGGUUCUCCUCACUGCCAGGAUCCAGUUUCCGCCACGUAUAGGACUCGUAGUCCACCUGCCAAUCUGGACUCAGCGGAAAGGCAAGCUCCUGGCCUCGGAAGACCCAGACUCCAGAAAUGGAGCUGCUGUUGUUGGUUCCAAAGAGGAUGACACUGGCAAAGGCAUUCUUCCUCAGCUUGUCCAACUGUUGGAACAUUCCAGUGAUGAGGUUACAACUCAUAAAGGUCUGAGUGAGCUCCUCAGGGAAGCAGUACUCAGCAUACCACAGGGACCAGCCAUCCUUAUCGAAGUGCUCCCAGAAAUACGGCAGUGCCACAGUGAGAGUGUCCUCAUUGGAGUACUUGCGCUUAAAUUCGUCCAACACAAAGGUUGGCUCUCUGCAAACUUUUUAGCAUCAAACUGGACCAUCUUCUCACAGAGUUUCACCUUCCCCCAAGACAGCCCAGAACUGGGGCUGGUUAAUGCAGGUAAGGAACCAGCGGUUGGUAUUGGGGAAGGCCUGGCGGAAAGAAGGCUCCAGGACCUGUUUAUAGAGCCACAACAGGGUGCAGACAACUGUGAUGUCAGCCAGUGUCACACGUUCGCCCACCAGAAAAGUCCUCGUCUUCAAAUGAGUAUCCAGGAGCCCCAGAAUUCGCCUCACUUCCUCCUUUGCAUUCUCUGUGGCCUGCUUGUUGUGGUGCAUGAUGCCCAAGGUAGGAAGCACCCAGGUACUGGCUGGGGGCACUAUGUCGCUAUCAGCAAAGCUCACCCACUGCACCACCUGGGCUGCUGCCUCUGGAGUAUUUCCCCGCAGCUCCUCAUUGCUCACAUAGUAGGCAAUGGCAUUGCUCUCAAACACACAGAAUCCAUCGUCACCCUCAAAUGCUGGAACCUUGCCAGCAGGAAAUUUACGGAGAAAUUCAGGGGUGCGGUUGGUUUGGCCAAAGUGGAAGUGGGGUGGUGCGGAGAGCACGCGGACCUGAGCCCCGCUGUACUGAGCAGCAAUGAGAGCCUUGAAGGCCCUCCAGUUUUCAGGAUAUGUGUACAGGGGCCCGGCCGCCGUGGUGAUUCCGCAGAGAAAGCUCUCCAUCUUUUUCUAACUUGGAUGUGCUGGUACUGCCAGUGCUGGACUGAUGGGAUAGAGGUUCAUUCAUACUUUGUCUUUUUUAUAAACUCUUUGGGAUUUGUAUUUUUUUUUUUAGGUUUUAUUUAUUUAUUCAUAGACACACACACACACAGAGGCAGAGACACAGGCAGAGGGAGAAGCAGGCUCCAUGCAGGGAGCCCAAUGUGGGACUCGAUCCCGGGUCCCCAGGAUCACACCCCAGGCUGCAGGCAGCACCAAACCACUGCACCACCGGGGCUGCCCACUCUGGGAUUUGUAGUGGACAAGUUGGUCCUUUCUCCCUGUUUCUCCUUAACAGAACCCUGA